CGCGUAGGAACCUGCCCAGUAGUGGGGGAUAGCCCGGUGAAACCGGAUUAAUACCGCAUACGCUCUACGGGAGGAAAGGGGGCUUCGGCUCUCGUCUAGUUGGAUGGGCCUGCGUGAGAUUAGCUAGUUGGUGACGGUAAUGGCUCACCAAGGCGACGAUCUCUAGCUGGUCUGAGAGGAGUGAUCAGCCACACUGGGACUGAGACACGGCCCAGUACUCCUACGGGAGGCAGCACGUUGGGGAAUUUUCCGCAAUGGGCGAAAGCCUGACGGAGCAACGCCGCGUGAGGGAUGAAGGCC
rnacentral:rRNA from 1 species